GUUUGUUUUGUUAUUUUCAUGUACAAUGAGAGAGUGCUUGCCAAUGACCAACUAAAUGGAUAUUUGAGGUGAAUUUGCAUUGUGAGACCCGGUUGAGUAAGCCCUAAAAAUAACGAUUUUACUAUGUUGGAAUUUUUGUAAUGACUAUUGCUAUCAAACAAGAAGCUGACAAAAAAUAUAAAGUAUUAAUAACGAUGAAUGGAACAGAGUUAGAAUCUCAGUGUUUCAGAUAUCAAGUGGAAUUAUUAAAUGCUGAUAAAAAUAUUUCUUUGCUAUUAAAGGAAAAUCGCUUAUAUAGUUGGAUAUAUAUAAUGGAUUUUUGUGAAAAUCUCAAGAAGGCAGAGACUCAGUUAGAAUUGAAUUAUGAGAACUUGUUAGAACUUCUUCAGAAACCUGAACAUCUAAUAAUGAAAUUUAAUAUAGCAAAGAAGAGUAAAAAAGAGAUCAUGGAGAUAAUUGGUAAUAAUGAUAGUUUGUUGCUUAAAGGAA